rnacentral:sRNA from 1 species
GACCAGCCGAAUGAUCGGCCAGCCGCCUG